rnacentral:rRNA from 1 species
CCUACGGGCGACAGCAGUGAGGAAUAUUGGUCAAUGGACGAGAGUCUGAACCAGCCAAGUAGCGUGAAGGAUGACUGCCCUAUGGGUUGUAAACUUCUUUUAUAUGGGAAUAAAACGUUCCACGUGUGGGAUUUUGUAUGUACCAUAUGAAUAAGGAUCGGCUAACUCCGUGCCAGCAGCCGCGGUAAUACGGAGGAUCCGAGCGUUAUCCGGAUUUAUUGGGUUUAAAGGGAGCGUAGGUGGAUUGUUAAGUCAGUUGUGAAAGUUUGCGGCUCAACCGUAAAAUUGCAGUUGAAACUGGCAGUCUUGAGUACAGGAGAGGUGGGCGGAAUUCGUGGUGUAGCGGUGAAAUGCUUAGAUAUCACGAAGAACUCCGAUUGCGAAGGCAGUUCACUGGACUGCAACUGACACUGAGGCUCGAAAGUGUGGGUAUCAAACAGGAUUAGAUACCCCAGUAGUC